ACUGAUCUGAUCAUAUUCACCAUGAACAAAUACAUGCUGCUGCUUUUCAUUAUGGCAUCAGAUGUGACAGCUGUGGACAAAAUUGAGCCAAAUAAAGGGACGAGCAUCAUCAAAACUGAAGGAGAGUCUGUAACGCUGAGCUGCUCAUAUGAUUCAGACAGUGAAUAUGUACGUCUGUACUGGUACAGACAAUAUCCUAAUGGAGAACCUCAAUAUUUAUUACGUGAAGGAGCACGAUCAAACAGUGCUAAGCACAGCUCUGAUCCUCGAUUCCAGUCAAGCACUUCUCGCAUGUUGACUGAACUCAUUAUUAGCAGUGUGACUGUGUCAGAUUCAGCUCUCUAUUACUGCGCUUUAAGAGUUGAAGCCCAGUGA